rnacentral:rRNA from 1 species
UACCAGCACCCCGAGUGGUCGGGACGAUUAUUGGGCCUAAAGCAUCCGUAGCCGGUCAUGCAAGUCUUCCGUUAAAUCCAGCCGCUCAACGGUUGGGCUGCGGAGGAUACUACGUGGCUAGGAGGCGGGAGAGGCAAGCGGUACUCAGUGGGUAGGGGUAAAAUCCAUUGAUCUACUGAAGACCACCAGUGGCGAAGGCGGUUUGCCAGAACGCGCUCGACGGUGAGGGAUGAAAGCUGGGGGGAGCAAACCGG